UCCGUAGGUGGAUAAUUAAGUUAGUGGUGAAAGUCUGCAGCUCAACUGUAGAAUUGCCCUUAAUACUGGUUAUCUUGAAUUAUUGUGAAGUGGUUAGAAUAUGUAGUGUAGCGGUGAAAUGCAUAGAUAUUACAUAGAAUACCAAUUGCGAAGGAAGAUCACUAACAAUAUAUUGACACUGAUGGACGAAAGCGUGGGGAGCGAACAGGAUUAGAUACCCUGGUAGUCA
rnacentral:rRNA from 1 species